rnacentral:rRNA from 1 species
CCGGCACGGGUGAGUAACACGUAUCCAACCUGCCGUCUACUCUUGGACAGCCUUCUGAAAGGAAGAUUAAUACAAGAUGGCAUCAUGAGUCCGCAUGUUCACAUGAUUAAAGGUAUUCCGGUAAAGGAUGGGGAUGCGUUCCAUUAGAUAGUAGGCGGGGUAACGGCCCACCUAGUCUUCGAUGGAUAGGGGUUCUGAGAGGAAGGUCCCCCACAUUGGAACUGAGACACGGUCCAA